GUGCUUGCUUUGGCAGUACAUAUACUACAAUACAGAGAAGACUAGCAUGUCUCCAACUGUGCAAGGAUGACAUGCAAAUUUGUGUUCUAUAGUUUA
rnacentral:snRNA from 1 species